CAGCUGCAGGUCUUCCACCUGUGGGCGAGGCAGAGUGCUGCAGUAGCAAAUGACAGUUUCACCCAAUCCACCUCUGGGUAUUUAAGAAGCUUCCUGAUGAAAUUUGACCUCUCAUGGUCAACCAUUACUGAGGACCUGAAGGAACACUUACCUGACCAAACCUCCUUGAGUAAUUGCUUUCCUAGCUGCUCCAGGUCUAAGACACUACCUCCUUCUAGCUAAACUCACACUUCCAUUAGCUGCUCAUCAGUCUGCUACAGCUCCAUCCACCUUUAAGUUUUCCACCUGUCUGCUCUCCAACUCAUCAGCUGCAGACUCUGCUUUUCCUUUUGUCAUUGUGGUGAUCAAACUAAUUCAUCCUCAUAGGCUCUGCGUGUCAGCAGAGGGUCCUGGUUUCAGAAGCUUGGUUUCAGGUAACAAUCACCUUUGUACAUCUUUUCAAACCAAACACAUUAACACGUUCACUCCAGCUCCAAAAAGGCCCCUCACCCUGAGAACAAGAUUAUCACCCUACAUGACCAACUCAUUUUCCAACUCUUUAGUGGUUCUGAGGUACCUCCAGGACAUUACACUAAGAUACACAACACCACUAACCUCCCUGUCACCUCUUGAAACGUAAGAAAAGCAAAAUCUCCACUAGCAUACUUUCAAUGAGUUGGCAGAAAAAUCAUGAAAGGAUGGAAAAUGGAAAGUAAAGCCUCUGAUCUGUUGAUUUCAUACGUUUUCACAUGGCAAACGCAAACUUCUAUAUACUUAAAUGGAUUUUAUAUAUUAGAUCAAGAUGGAUGAACAUGGAUUCUGAACAGUACACACAAAGGUGUGAACUUUUCUACACCUUUCAGUGUCACACUAACUUGCACCUAACUCAGGCCAGGAAGAGGAGGAGUCAUAGAUGACACCCCGCAGCGUCACUGUUUGACCAAAAACGCUGUGUUCCAGCAUGGUGGCCUCUACCACACAGGUCUCCAGGAGAACCGGAUGGAGUGACACAACGUGUGAACGUCUCCUUGCCGGCAAGCAGACAUAUCUCUUCAACUUGGGUCCAAAAGUGACCACAAUCACGCCGAUUGUAUGCAACAAAGUUAGGUAGUAGUUUGCUGUUGAGAGUACCCAGCAUUCAUUCAUAAAAGGGGAAUAAUAAGACAAGUGUGACUUGACUUUUCCUUGAGGCCUGCAGAGGUUACAGAAGCUCCCAGGGGACGUUGUCCCUAAUUGAAGCGGUUUUCCCCAUGACCUGGAGGAAAGGUAACAAAACAGCAGUUCGGCCGGCUGAGUACAGCCGCCCCCACUUUUAUUAAUGGUAUU